rnacentral:snRNA from 1 species
UAGGAGGGCGCGGCGGUCGC